GUGUUGAUUUCAGCUUAUUUUUCUCGAGCUAACAAAGCUCAUUCUCUGGUGAGAAAACAGAACCAAAGUAUGAAAUAAAAUUUUUUUAAAAAGCAAAAAAACAACGAGGAGAUUCUCACUAUUUAAGGAAAACUGAAGAUGACAAAAAGCAGCCGAGUUCGAGCAAGACUAAAAAGUAGCUGAAGCAUCAGGGAGGGGAUUCUGUCGUCUGAUAGUUUCCCAUCAGGGGGAAACACAGAGGAGAGAUUUACACCUUGUGGUGAUGUUUAAACAACACAGGCACAUGUAUAAGUUUUAUUUUGAUCAUUGAAGCGCAGCCUCUCGUUCUCCACACCGGGAGAAAACAUUUGAUUUAAAAAAAACGUUCAUGAGAGCAACAGAGGCUGAACUAUCAGAC